rnacentral:rRNA from 1 species
CGCUGGCGGCGCGCCUAAACACAUGCAAGUCGAACGAGAGAUGAAGAGCUUGCUCUUCAGAUCGAGUGGCGAACGGGUGAGUAACGCGUGAGGAACCUGCCUCAAAGAGGGGGACAACAGUUGGAAACGACUGCUAAUACCGCAUAAGCCCACAGCUCGGCAUCGAGCAGAGGGAAAAGGAGCAAUCCGCUUUGAGAUGGCCUCGCGUCCGAUUAGCUAGUUGGUGAGGUAACGGCCCACCAAGGCGACGAUCGGUAGCCGGACUGAGAGGUUGAACGGCCACAUUGGGACUGAGACACGGCCCAGACUCCUACGGGAGGCAGCAGUGGGGAAUAUUGCACAAUGGGCGAAAGCCUGAUGCAGCAACGCCGCGUGAGCGAUGAAGGCCUUCGGGUCGUAAAGCUCUGUCUUCAGGGACGAUAAUGACGGUACCUGAGGAGGAAGCCACGGCUAACUACGUG